CACAUCUAUCCACGCCUUACCACUCAUAGUUACAUUUGAAAUCUAUUCUAUUCAAAUGUCCUUCUGGAAACUAAUCAAAUGUGCCGUACGACUUGUUGUCGCUGCGGCACUACUAUACAUUAUAUACGAUACCCUUGUGAUAAUUAACUAUUGCAUCAGAAUUCUGCGCAGAGAAAACUGAGGCUGAACCUCAACUAAAUGUGACCAAAAUGGAAUUCUAUGCGCAGAGCAAUGGCUGUUUUUGUCAAAAUUCGCAAUGUUUUUUUACCUUACCAUUACGAUAUUAUAUAUUUGUGAAUUUUGAAAUAUGUUUCAGAAAGUUAGCUGCUGCUCUGUGCAUAAUAAAAUGAUGUAAAAGCUUGA